GACGAACCGUGCGAACGUUGUUCGGAAUCACUGGGCUUAAAGGGCGCGUAGGCGGUCUCCCAAGUCCGGGGUGAAAUCUUUCGGCCUAACCGGAAAAGGGCCUUGGAUACUGGGGGACUCGAGGGGGGUAGGGGCAAGCGGAACUUCCGGUGGAGCGGUGAAAUGCGUUGAUAUCGGAAGGAACGCCGGCGGCGAAAGCGGCUUGCUGGACCCCAUCUGACGCUGAGGCGCGAAAGCCAGGGGAGCGAACAGG
rnacentral:rRNA from 1 species